CGGGCCUUGUACACACUGCCCGUCACGCCAUGGGAGUUGGUUCUACCCGAAGGUGGCAAGCUAACUUUUAGAGGCAACCAACCACGGUAGAAUUAGCGACUGGGGUG
rnacentral:rRNA from 1 species